AUGGCGACCAUGGCAUCUUCACUUAGCUUCAUCCUUGCUCUUCUCCUCGCAAUUGCUGCCACCGACGGUAUCACUGUCCACCUACUCAACAAGUGCCCCUACACGGUGUGGCCAGGCGCCUACCCGGUCGGCGGUGGUAGCAGGCUCGACCCAGGUCAAGCGGGGGCCAUUCAAGUUCCCCCGGGCACGGCUGGUGGAAGGAUUUGGGGGCGCACCGGCUGCAACUUCGAUGCCAGCGGCCGCGGGUCGUGCACCACGGGCGACUGUGGCGGCAUGCUGGCCUGCGCCGCCGGCGGGAAGCCACCUGCCACGCUCGCCGAGUACACGCUGGGUAAGGGCGGCAGCCCCGACUUCUACGACGUCUCCCUCGUCGACGGAUUCAACAUGCCGAUGAGCUUUGGGCCUACCGGCGGCAGCUGCCACGCAAUCAACUGUGCCGCGGACAUCAACGCAAAGUGCCCGUCGGAGCUGAAGGUGGACGGAGGCUGCGUGAGUGCCUGCGUCAAGUUCGGCACCCCCCAGUACUGCUGCAAGCCGCCGCUCAGGCCGUCGACCUGUGGGCCGACGGACUACUCGCGCUUCUUCAAGGGGCACUGCCCGGACGCCUACAGCUACGCCUACGACGACAAGAGCAGCACCUUCACCUGCCCCGUCGGAUCAGACUACCAACUCACCUUCUGCCCAUAG
rnacentral:rRNA from 1 species